GGAAGAACAAAAAUCACUUAAGGAGAAGUAAGAUGUGCAGUUAAUACAAUGAACCCAAAAUGUUUACGCAUAUCAAUCUGGUUUAACAUCCACAAUACCCCUUUCAAACAAUAAAUCAAAUAGUCAAGAAUUAGAAACUAGUUUACAAAGCUAGUUUAAAUGAAACAAGCAAAUCCUCACCUAAACCAAGUUGUAGCAAAUAAUCUAAACUAGGGAGAAUGAUUGGAGAAUUGAUUCUCAUAAGAAAAGUGUCAGUGUGUCAAAUGGGUCUGCCAGUGAAUGGCCUCCUAAGGAACCGAUUGGUGGCGUUGAGCAGAAGUUUCUUCAAGUGCUAAUGGCUUGAGCAAAUAGACGUAAAGGAAGCUGGCUUUCAGGUCUAGCACUACCAAGUGAAAGGAAAUUGCUCAGAAACAGCGAAGAGGAGCUAGGUGAUGUUGAAUUGAUUGAAAAUGAAGGAAAGAACUGAAACACGGUGAUGCAGCAAAUUGGUGUUGGUGAAUCGAAGAAAAUCAAUAGGAGUCAUAUAUGGGUGUUAUGUGAAUGCCGUCGAGUAAGAGAGAAUGGGUAUCCAAUGCAAUUCAGAUGAAGCUUGAUGAAGGUACUGGUGCUACUUUGUUCA
rnacentral:misc_RNA from 1 species